rnacentral:tRNA from 1 species
AAUAAUGUAAGCUAAAAAAGCUGUUGGGUUCAUACCUCAAAAAUAGAUGUAGAAGUCUCUUUAUUA